rnacentral:tRNA from 1 species
GAGCGCGUACUGUUAAGAUAGGCAGGGUUACUUUGCAGAGGUAAUUUUAAGGUUUAAUUCCUUCGCGUUUU